rnacentral:rRNA from 1 species
CUACGGGAGGCAGCAGUGGGGAAUCUUGGACAAUGGGCGCAAGCCUGAUCCAGCCAUGCCGCGUGAGUGGAGAAGGCCUUAGGGUCGUAAAGCUCUUUCGCCAGAGAUGAUAAUGACAGUAUCUGGUAAAGAAACCCCCGCUAACUCCGUGCCAGCAGCCGCGGUAAUACGGAGGGGGUUAGCGUUGUUCGGAAUUACUGGGCGUAAAGCGCGCGUAGGCGGAUUAGUCAGUCAGAGGUGAAAUCCCAGGGCUCAACCCUGGAACUGCCUUUGAUACUGCUAGUCUUGAGUUCGAGAGAGGUGAGUGGAAUUCCGAGUGUAGAGGUGAAAUUCGUAGAUAUCCGGAGGAACACCAGUGGCGAAGGCGGCUCACUGGCUCGAUACUGACGCUGAGGUGCGAAAGUGUGGGGAGCAAACAGGAUUAGAUACCCGAGUAGUC